UGUUGGUUUUUAAGGUCUUGGGUCAUUUGGCUUUUGGAUCUUGGGUCUUUUGUUUUUUGUGGUCUUGGGUCGCUAGAGAAGCAAUGUCAAGAAUGUUGCAAAGUGGUUCUGUUAAAGGAUUUUCGAAGCAGCGACAUAUGGGGUCAAAUGACAUCAUUUGACGUCAUGUGACUGCAGGUCUUGUGAGGAAAUAUGACGUCAUACAAGCUGCCGCUGUAACCGGGAGUUUUAACUUGUAGGGCACUAGGACCCAGAAAACGCCUCUGCACCAAUGACGUAAUGCGCAGCCCCCCUUCCUGAAAUCGCCGCUCAUUUGUGUGUCCGGCUGCCAGUCAAACGUUCUUUGAUGAGUUCCCGCGGGAAUGCAGCCGUGUGUUGAUCGCUAGCUGCUAAACGUGAACUGUCAUCAACUGUCAGCAGCAAUCCAGCGCUGAUCCUGUUCAUCUUCUGGAGCAUUUUAAAGAGGAUUUUUCUCAGGAUCGGUUCUGCUGUCGUAAACCCGAACCUUCCGGACCGGAUGUCAUGUGGAACACUGGACUGAAUAAGCUCGUGUGGUGAUGAAGCUCCAGCUGUGUGGAGCAGUGAUGGAGGAAGGUCUCGUUAGAGACAUUACAGGAAGAGCAGCUACAGGUGGAGUGGGACAGAGCAGAGGUUCCCAAACUGUUGACGGGAAGAAGGAAAGACAUAACCUGAUGCUGAGACCAUUCAGACAUUUACAGUUACACUCUCAAGGCCUUUUGACAGAUUGCUCUGAUAUGAGGCUUCACUGCUGGAGGUGGGAGGGUUUGGGAACCGCUGUUCUGAGACGGAGCCCCCGACUGGGCCAGGUUUCAACGAGUCUAACAGAGUGGGCAGCACAGAGGUCAAAAAAGAACACCACAAACGGUGGACAGAACAUUUAGGUACGAAGUGAGGCUCCUUCAGACCAGGAGACAGAAAGGUCAGCUUCAUUUAGCCAUGAUUCAGUCCAGAACGCUUCGUCACACAUCCAGAGAAAAACCCAGAAACACUUUACUUUCUUUGUGUUGUUGAAAACAGGAUGGAGACACAAACAAAAACAGAAAACUCUUAAUGGAGAAUCCAGAGAUGCUUUUCUAAAUCCCACAGAAUGAAAUAAUAAACAUCAAGAACCACUUCAGUGAGAGCUUCUCCAACAGCAGCCUCAAACAGUGCUUCUUUAAAAAUACAAAUGGGUCUAAAUCAAAAGGGGACAGCAGUUUGUUAGAAAGAGGACUCUACCUGCUCAGAAACCAGGAGGAGUCACCACGAGAAGCUGCUGAGGGCAGCUCCUGACCACACCAAACCAAAGUACUGAUGGACUCCAUUUCAAAUGCACCUAAAAUCAAAUAUAAGAGCCCAGACUUCUAGUGAUGGCAAAGAGCUGGAAUAAACAUGCUGUAUUUGAAUUCACUUUAUUGGACAUUGGACAUUAGCCAAUGGUAAAAAAAUGCGCUGAAUCGAUUCCCUCCUGAAGCAGGCCUUUAGAUCUGCAAUGAGAACCAAAUGCAGGACAUGUCAAACACUAGAAGAACAACGUUUUCUACAGGAAAUGUGACUGCUGAAAAUCUGAGCUUGGAGCUGAAGACGCUGCAGAUGAUAAUAACAGGCUCAGACG